AACCCAUGUUGAGGACAUUUCUGCUGGAGCUCCUUGUACCUAUCCCAUGUCUCAAAAAGUGACUUCAAUUUUCUUUGCACGAAAGAGGAUAUUUCAUUCCUAAGCUU